rnacentral:rRNA from 1 species
UAACACGUGAGUAACCUGCCCCUGACUCUGGGAUAAGCGUUGGAAACGACGUCUAAUACUGGAUAUGAUCACUGGCCGCAUGGUCUGGUGGUGGAAAGAUUUUUUGGUUGGGGAUGGACUCGCGGCCUAUCAGCUUGUUGGUGAGGUAAUGGCUCACCAAGGCGACGACGGGUAGCCGGCCUGAGAGGGUGACCGGCCACACUGGGACUGAGACACGGCCCAGACUCCUACGGGAGGCAGCAGUGGGGAAUAUUGCACAAUGGGCGAAAGCCUGAUGCAGCAACGCCGCGUGAGGGAUGACGGCCUUCGGGUUGUAAACCUCUUUUAGUAGGGAAGAAGCGAAAGUGACGGUACCUGCAGAAAAAGCACCGGCUAACUACGUGCCAGCAGCCGCGGUAAUACGUAGGGUGCAAGCGUUGUCCGGAAUUAUUGGGCGUAAAGAGCUCGUAGGCGGUUUGUCGCGUCUGCUGUGAAAUCCCGAGGCUCAACCUCGGGCUUGCAGUGGGUACGGGCAGACUAGAGUGCGGUAGGGGAGAUUGGAAUUCCUGGUGUAGCGGUGGAAUGCGCAGAUAUCAGGAGGAACACCGAUGGCGAAGGCAGAUCUCUGGGCCGUAACUGACGCUGAGGAGCGAAAGCAUGGGGAGCGAACAGGAUUAGAUACCCUGGUAGUCCAUGCCGUAAACGUUGGGCGCUAGAUGUAGGGACCUUUCCACGGUUUCUGUGUCGUAGCUAACGCAUUAAGCGCCCCGCCUGGGGAGUACGGCCGCAAGGCUAAAACUCAAAGGAAUUGACGGGGGCCCGCACAAGCGGCGGAGCAUGCGGAUUAAUUCGAUGCAACGCGAAGAACCUUACCAAGGCUUGACAUACACCGGAAACGGCCAGAGAUGGUCGCCCCCUUGUGGUCGGUGUACAGGUGGUGCAUGGUUGUCGUCAGCUCGUGUCGUGAGAUGUUGGGUUAAGUCCCGCAACGAGCGCAACCCUCGUUCUAUGUUGCCAGCGGGUUAUGCCGGGGACUCAUAGGAGACUGCCGGGGUCAACUCGGAGGAAGGUGGGGAUGACGUCAAAUCAUCAUGCCCCUUAUGUCUUGGGCUUCACGCAUGCUACAAUGGCCGGUACAAAGGGCUGCGAUACCGUAAGGUGGAGCGAAUCCCAAAAAGCCGGUCUCAGUUCGGAUUGAGGUCUGCAACUCGACCUCAUGAAGUCGGAGUCGCUAGUAAUCGCAGAUCAGCAACGCUGCGGUGAAUACGUUCCCGGGCCUUGUACACACCGCCCGUCAAGUCAUGAAAGUCGGUAACACCCGAAGCCGGUGGCCUAACC